GAUGAACGCUGGCGGCGUGCCUAAUACAUGCCAGUCGAGCGAACGGACGAGAAGCUUGCUUCUCUGAUGUUAGCGGCGGACGGGUGAGUAACACGUGGAUAACCUACCUAUAAGACUGGGAUAACUUCGGGAAACCGGAGCUAAUACCGGAUGAUAUUUUGAACCGCAUGGUUCAAAAGUGAAAGACGGUCUUGCUGUCACUUAUAGAUGGAUCCGCGCUGCAUUAGCUAGUUGGUAAGGUAACGGCUUACCAAGGCAACGAUGCAUAGCCGACCUGAGAGGGUGAUCGUCCACACUGGAACUGAGACACGGUUCAGACUCCUACGGGAGGCAGCAGUAGGGAAUCUUCCGCAAUGGGCGAAAGCCUGACGGAGCAACGCCGCGUGAGUGAUGAAGGUCUUCGGAUCGUAAAACUCUGUUAUUAGGGAAGAACAUAUGUGUAAGUAACUGUGCACAUCUUGACGGUACCUAAUCAGAAAGCCACGGCUAACUACGU
rnacentral:rRNA from 1 species